UACGAAGGGGGCUAGCGUUGUUCGGAAUUACUGGGCGUAAAGCGCGCGUAGGCGGCGACCUUUGUCAGAGGUGAAAUCCCGAGGCUCAACUUCGGAAUUGCCUUUGAAACGGGGUUGCUUGAGUCCGAGAGAGGUGAGUGGAAUUCCUAGUGUAGAGGUGAAAUUCGUAGAUAUUAGGAAGAACACCAGUGGCGAAGGCGGCUCACUGGCCCGGUACUGACGCUCAUGUGCGAAAGCGUGGGGAGCAAACAGG
rnacentral:rRNA from 1 species